rnacentral:rRNA from 1 species
GACGAACGCUGGCGGCGUGCUUAACACAUGCAAGUCGAACGGUGAACCUCUUCGGAUGGGGUCAGUUGCGAACGGGUGAGUAACACUUGGGCAACCUUCCCCCGGCCCUGGGAUAACUCCAAGAAAUUGGGGCUAAUGCCGGAAGCGCACCGCUGCUCGCACUGCAGGGGGGGGGAAGGGUUUCCGGUGGGGGUUGGGCCCGCGGCUUAGCAGCUUGUUGGUGGGGUAGUGGCCUACCAAGGCGACGACGGGUAGCCGGCCUGAGAGGGUGACCGGCCACACUGGGACUGAGAUACGGCCCAGACUCCUACGGGAGGCAGCAGUGGGGAAUAUUGCGCAAUGGGCGGAAGCCUGACGCAGCGACGCCGCGUGGGGGAUGACGGCCUUCGGGUUGUAAACCGCUUUCAGCUGGGACGAAGCGCGAGUGACGGUACCUGGAGAAGAAGCACCGGCUAACUACGUG